rnacentral:rRNA from 1 species
GAUGAACGCUGGCGGCGUGCCUAAUACAUGCAAGUCGAGCGAACAGACGAGGAGCUUGCUCCUCUGACGUUAGCGGCGGACGGGUGAGUAACACGUGGAUAACCUACCUAUAAGACUGGGAUAACUUCGGGAAACCGGAGCUAAUACCGGAUAAUAUAUUGAACCGCAUGGUUCAAUAGUGAAAGACGGUUUUGCUGUCACUUAUAGAUGGAUCCGCGACGCAUUAGCUAGUUGGUAAGGUAACGGCUUACCAAGGCGACGAUGCGUAGCCGACCUGAGAGGGUGAUCGGCCACACUGGCACUGAAAAACGGUCCAGACUCCUACGGGAGGCAGCAGUAGGGAAUCUUCCGCCAUGGGCGAAAGCCUGACGGAGCAACGCCGCGUGAGUGAUGAAGGUCUUCGGAUCGUAAAACUCUGUUAUUAGGGAAGAACAAAUGUGUAAGUAACUAUGCACGUCUUGACGGUACCUAAUCAGAAAGCCACGGCUAACUACGUG